UUCUUAAACUCCAGCUUUAAUUUAAUUAUUAAACCCCACCCCACCUCUCCUCCCACUCCGUCUCAUUUACUCAGAUUCACGAACGGCGUCUGUAACAGCUACAAACUCGACCUAUAAAUUAGUAUUUUGGAAGCAAUGGAGACCUACACUGUUCAGACAUUUGAUAGCCUAAACCAUCUUAAGCAUGCAUCGCCUUCAAAUAUGUAGGCUUCAUACGUUCUUCUCGGCAACCUGAAAGGACGUCUGUCUGUUGAGGUGGUCUGAGGUUCUCGAUGAGCAGGUAACCCCGACCACUUAUCUUUUCUUAUGACUGCCAAAUGAAUUUUUCGCAAACCUUAAUGUGUUAAAUUUUUUUGUUUAUUCUUGUCUACGCUUAUCCAAGGAACCAUCAACUCAAGCCGCGUCGAUACGUUCCGACUCUCUGACUCUCCUGUCUCCAUCCGUUUCACUGACGGAACGU
rnacentral:lncRNA from 1 species